CAUUAAAGAAGAGUUAUCUAAGGGUAGUUUGGUUUAGUUAUGUUGGGACCUACACAAGAAGUUAGAAGUUUGGACAUACCAUCUACUUCUUUUUUACUUGCAAUAAACAUAUGAUACAAGGUGACUCACUACGUAUUUCAAUUAACUAGAGCAUUUGUUGCAAUAAAUUGGACCCUUCUGACUUUUUCUAAAUGAUUGUUGGAUCAAAAGGACAAGCACUAGUGUCUCAUUGCAUUUUGAUUAUUUUUAGUUUAUAAUAUAAAGGAGGAAUUUGAUUACAUGGAGCGUCCUGUCUUGAUCAGUGUUGUUUUGUGGCACGUCUGUUUUAGGUUUGUUGUGUAGCUUGUUUAGCAUUGUUUUGUUGAGUGAAGUGAGGAGAUGAGAGGGAGAGAGAGCAAGAUCACUUAUAAAAGGAAGUGAAUGAAAGUGAGAGUGUGAGUGAGUGAGGGAAAAGCAAUAUGAGGGUGAGCAGGUGGAGAAACUGGCCAAGCUUCAGAAACUCACUUCUUUUCCAAACAAAGUCUAUGCUUCUCAACUUCACUUCAUGCCUCAGAUACAAGGCCAAAGGUAACAUGAAUGGCCUGACGAUGCUUUACAAGGACAUGGAGUCUUGUGAGGAAUGUGGAGACAUAAGAGUGAUGUGGGAGCUGAUUCAGUCUUCUCGUCCUCCCGAUAAUGAUCACAACACCAGUUUCCGGAGACACUGGACUCGGAGAUUCUGCUUCAGGCCAAAGGAGACAGAUUGUAAGUCAUAAAAAAUGAUGUUGGUCGAUUAGGUCGACUUUAUAUGCCAAGAAAUUCGUUUUUGAAGCUAGCUUACAUUCUGCUACCAAGGAAAGGCGAUAUGGGUAGAUCCUGUUUUUUGUUCCUAGGGCCAUCGCAAUUGCGUAAAUUUCUUUACAAUAUAGACUGUGAUUACGAUGAAAAUGUUGUUGACCGCUCUAGUAUCUGUACAGAUGAUGGCAGUCGGUUCGAAUUGGGGAAAAUUGGCCUGAUGUAUGAGGUUGAAUGAAAUCAACAAGAGGCAGUCUGUAAUAAAGUUGAUCUUCGAAUAAUACUCAUAACCUAAACCUAA